UACGUAGGGUGCAAGCGUUAAUCGGAAUUACUGGGCGUAAAGCGUGCGCAGGCGGUGAUGUAAGACAGGUGUGAAAUCCCCGGGCUCAACCUGGGAACUGCAUUUGUGACUGGCCAGCUAGAGUAUGGCAGAGGGGGGGUGGAAUUCCACGUGUAGCAGUGAAAUGCGUAGAUAUGCGGAGGAACACCGAUGGCGAAGGACAAUCCCCUGGGCCUGCACUGGACGCUCAUGCACGAAAGCGUGGGGAGC
rnacentral:rRNA from 1 species